rnacentral:rRNA from 1 species
UACAGAGGGUGCGAGCGUUAAUCGGAAUUACUGGGCGUAAAGCGUGCGUAGACGGUUAUUUAAGUCGGAUGUGAAAGCCCGGGCUCAACCUGGGAAUUGCAUUCGAGACUGAAUAGCUAGGGUGCGGUAGAGGGAAGCGGAAUUUCCGGUGUAGCGGUGAAAUGCGUAGAUAUCGGAAGGAACAUCAGUGGCGAAAGCGGCUUCCUGGACCAGCACCGACGUUCAGGCACCGAAAGCGUCGGGAGCAA